GUGCCAGCCGCCGCGGUAAUACGUAGGUGGCUAGCGUUGUCCGGAUUUACUGGGCGUAAAGAGCGCGCAGGCGGUCGUUCAAGUCGAGUGUGAAAGCCCCCGGCUCAACUGGGGAGGGUCACUCGAUACUGAUCGACUUGAAGGCGGGAGAGGGAAGCGGAAUUCCCGGUGUAGUGGUGAAAUGCGUAGAUAUCGGGAGGAACACCAGUGGCGAAGGCGGCUUUCUGGCCCGUUCUUGACGCUGAGGCGCGAAAGCUAGGGUAGCAAACGGGAUUAGAAACCCUUGUAGUCC
rnacentral:rRNA from 1 species